ensembl:lncRNA CELF2-DT CELF2 divergent transript
UGUGCAAACAAAAAAAGGCAACAAGCAUGCUGGGACCAUUCUGUCUGCUGUUUGGGUCUCACUUGUCCUGACAACUAAAAAUCAUCAGUGGAAAGAAGCUAGAGUCAUCCUAACAAGAGUGAUAGUCUUUCCCCAAGUGAGACCAGGCUGUGCUGUCUGGGGAAAAGCAUUGCUGGCCUUGUCGAGAUGCACCGACGACUCAGCUCAGCUAAGGACUUAACCAGUACAGGACUUGCUGCAGCGGAGCCUGAGCUGGAUAUGGAAAGCAAAAGGGUGACAUGCAAAAGGAACAUCUAAAUGCUCUUCCUGUGAUCUUUGGGGAAAGCACCCGAGUAGAAAGAGUGUCCACGGUACAUUAUCCAUGUAAAAAGUUGUGUCUGGCUACUCCCUUGAACCAGCAGAGACAGAUAUCAGGACAACAUGGCCUUAAUAUGGAGCAUAGGAUUCUUUGGACUUAAAGCUUCAUCUGAGUGCUCGGCUCCGCUUGGAUGUUUCACAGGUUCUACAGCCCCCAGCUGAAGUUAUGGUCUCCAACCACCCGCUACCUGUUCUCCCUUCCUGCUUUUCCAUCUCCAUAAAUGGCAGCACAUCUGUCCAUGGGCUUAAGAAACACCAGGACCUUCUUAUAGAGUGUCUUACAGUAUCCUUAAAGACUCCCUCCUCCGGGUGGAUCACGAGGUCAAGAGAUCGAGACCAUCCUGGCCAACAUGGUGAAACCCUGUCUCUACUAAAAAUACAAAAAUUAGCCGGGCGUGGUGGCGGGCACUUGUAAUCCCAGCUACUCGGGAGGCUGAGGCAGGAGAAUGUCGUGAACCCGGGAGGCGGAGCUUGCAGUGAGCCGAGAUCGCACCACUGCACUCCAGCCUGGGCAACAGAGGGAGACUCCGUCUCAAAAUAAAUAAAUAAAUAAAUAAAUAAAUAAA